rnacentral:rRNA from 1 species
UUAAGUGACUAAGCGUACACGGUGGAUGCCUAGGCAGUCAGAGGCGAUGAAGGGCGUGCUAAUCUGCGAAAAGUGUCGGUAAGGUGAUAUGAACCGUUAUAACCGGCAAUACCCGAAUGGGGAAACCCAGUGUGUUUCGACACACUAUCGUAUGGUGAAUACAUAGCCAUACGAGGCGAACCGGGGGAACUGAAACAUCUAAGUACCCCGAGGAAAAGAAAUCAACCGAGAUUCCCCUAGUAGCGGCGAGCGAACGGGGAACAGCCCAGAACCUGAAUCAGUUCUUGUGUUAGUGGAAGCGUCUGGAAAGUCGCGCAGCAAAGGGUGAUAGCCCCGUACACUAAAAUGCAUUAACUGUGAGUUCGAUGAGUAGGGCGGGACACGUGACAUCCUGUCUGAAUAUGGGGGGACCAUCCUCCAAGGCUAAAUACUCCUGACUGACCGAUAGUGAACCAGUACCGUGAGGGAAAGGCGAAAAGAACCCCGGCGAGGGGAGUGAAAUAGAACCUGAAACCGUGUACGUACAAGCAGUGGGAGCACCUUCGUGGUGUGACUGCGUACCUUUUGUAUAAUGGGUCAGCGACUUAUAUUUUGUAGCAAGGUUAACCGUAUAGGGGAGCCGUAGGGAAACCGAGUCUUAACUGGGCGANNNNNNNNNUCAUCUUCGGGGGUAGAGCACUGUUUCGGCUAGGGGGCCAUCCCGGCUUACCAAACCGAUGCAAACUCCGAAUACCGAAGAAUGUUAUCACGGGAGACACACGGCGGGUGCUAACGUCCGUCGUGAAGAGGGAAACAACCCAGACCGCCAGCUAAGGUCCCAAAGUCAUGGUUAAGUGGGAAACGAUGUGGGAAGGCAUAGACAGCCAGGAUGUUGGCUUAGAAGCAGCCAUCAUUUAAAGAAAGCGUAAUAGCUCACUGGUCGAGUCGGCCUGCGCGGAAGAUGUAACGGGGCUAAACCAUGCACCGAAGCUGCGGCAGCGACGCUUAGGCGUUGUUGGGUAGGGGAGCGUUCUGUAAGCCGUUGAAGGUGAACUGUGAGGUUUGCUGGAGGUAUCAGAAGUGCGAAUGCUGACAUAAGUAACGAUAAAGCGGGUGAAAAACCCGCUCGCCGGAAGACCAAGGGUUCCUGUCCAACGUUAAUCGGGGCAGGGUGAGUCGACCCCUAAGGCGAGGCCGAAAGGCGUAGUCGAUGGGAAACAGGUUAAUAUUCCUGUACUCGGUGUUACUGCGAAGGGGGGACGGAGAAGGCUAGGCUAGCCGGGCGACGGUUGUCCCGGUUUAAGCGUGUAGGGGGGUGUUCCUGGUAAAUCCGGAACGCUACCAACCCUGAGGCGUGAUGACGAUGCACUACGGUGCAGAAGUAGUUGAUGCCCUGCUUCCAGGAAAAGCCUCUAAGCAUCAGGUAACAUCAAAUCGUACCCCAAACCGACACAGGUGGUCAGGUAGAGAAUACCAAGGCGCUUGAGAGAACUCGGGUGAAGGAACUAGGCAAAAUGGUGCCGUAACUUCGGGAGAAGGCACGCUGGCGCGUAGGUGAAGAGACUUGCUCUCGGAGCUGAAGCCAGUCGCAGAUACCAGCUGGCUGCAACUGUUUAAUAAAAACACAGCACUGUGCAAACACGAAAGUGGACGUAUACGGUGUGACGCCUGCCCGGUGCUGGAAGGUUAAUUGAUGGGGUCAGCCGCAAGGCGAAGCUCUUGAUCGAAGCCCCAGUAAACGGCGGCCGUAACUAUAACGGUCCUAAGGUAGCGAAAUUCCUUGUCGGGUAAGUUCCGACCUGCACGAAUGGCGUAAUGAUGGCCAGGCUGUCUCCACCCGAGACUCAGUGAAAUUGAACUCGCUGUGAAGAUGCAGUGUACCCGCGGCAAGACGGAAAGACCCCGUGAACCUUUACUAUAGCUUGACACUGAACAUUGAGCCUUGAUGUGUAGGAUAGGUGGGAGGCUUUGAAGUGUGGACGCCAGUCUGCAUGGAGCCAACCUUGAAAUACCACCCUUUAAUGUUUGAUGUUCUAACUCGGCCCCAUAAUCUGGGGUGAGGACAGUGUCUGGUGGGUAGUUUGACUGGGGCGGUCUCCUCCCAAAGAGUAACGGAGGAGCACGAAGGUUAGCUAAUCACGGUCGGACAUCGUGAGGUUAGUGCAAAGGCAUAAGCUAGCUUGACUGCGAGAGUGACGGCUCGAGCAGGUACGAAAGUAGGUCUUAGUGAUCCGGUGGUUCUGAAUGGAAGGGCCAUCGCUCAACGGAUAAAAGGUACUCCGGGGAUAACAGGCUGAUACCGCCCAAGAGUUCAUAUCGACGGCGGUGUUUGGCACCUCGAUGUCGGCUCAUCACAUCCUGGGGCUGAAGUAGGUCCCAAGGGUAUGGCUGUUCGCCAUUUAAAGUGGUACGCGAGCUGGGUUUAGAACGUCGUGAGACAGUUCGGUCCCUAUCUGCCGUGGGCGUUGGAAGAUUGAGAGGGGUUGCUCCUAGUACGAGAGGACCGGAGUGAACGCACCACUGGUGUUCGGGUUGUCAUGCCAAUGGCACUGCCCGGUAGCUAAGUGCGGAAAAGAUAAGCGCUGAAAGCAUCUAAGCGCGAAACUUGCCUCGAGAUGAGUCUUCCCUGGGCCUUUAAGGCCCCUGAAGGAACGUUUAAGACUAAGACGUUGAUAGGCUGGGUGUGUAAGUGCAGCGAUGCAUUGAGCUAACCAGUACUAAUGAUCCGUGAGGCUUAACCUU